rnacentral:rRNA from 1 species
UACAGAGGUCCCAAGCGUUGUUCGGAUUCACUGGGCGUAAAGGGUGCGUAGGCGGUCGGGUAAGUCUGAUGUGAAAUCUCACAGCUUAACUGUGAAACUGCAUUGGAUACUAUCCGGCUAGAGGAAUGGAGGGGAGACUGGAAUACUUGGUGUAGCAGUGAAAUGCGUAGAUAUCAAGUGGAACACCAGUGGCGAAGGCGAGUCUCUGGACAUUUCCUGACGCUGAGGCACGAAAGCCAGGCGAGCAAACGGG